rnacentral:tRNA from 1 species
GCCCGGGUGGCGAAGUCGUUAGACGCGGCGGAUUCAAAACCCGCCGAUGAAUAAUCGUGUCGGUUCGAGUCCGACCCCGGGCACCA